CUAACGUGGACCCGUGAUCCGGGUUGCGGACAGUGUCUGGUGGGUAGUUUGACUGGGGCGGUCUCCUCCUAAAGAGUAACGGAGGAGCACGAAGGUUGGCUAAUCCUGGUCGGACAUCAGGAGGUUAGUGCAAUGGCAUAAGCCAGCUUGACUGCGAGCGUGACGGCGCGAGCAGGUGCGAAAGCAGGUCAUAGUGAUCCGGUGGUUCUGAAUGGAAGGGCCAUCGCUCAACGGAUAAAAGGUACUCCGGGGAUAACAGGCUGAUACCGCCCAAGAGUUCAUAUCGACGGCGGUGUUUGGCACCUCGAUGUCGGCUCAUCACAUCCUGGGGCUGAAGUAGGUCCCAAGGGUAUGGCUGUUCGCCAUUUAAAGUGGUACGCGAGCUGGGUUUAGAACGUCGUGAGACAGUUCGGUCCCUAUCUGCCGUGGGCGCUGGAGAACUGAGGGGGGCUGCUCCUAGUACGAGAGGACCGGAGUGGACGCAUCACUGGUGUUCGGGUUGUCAUGCCAAUGGCACUGCCCGGUAGCUAAAUGCGGAAGAGAUAAGUGCUGAAAGCAUCUAAGCACGAAACUUGCCCCGAGAUGAGUUCUCCCUGAGACUUAGAGUCUCCUGAAGGAACGUUGAAGACGACGACGUUGAUAGGCCGGGUGUGUAAGCGCAGCGAUGCGUUGAGCUAACCGGUACUAAUGAACCGUGAGGCUUAACCUUACAACGCCGAAG
rnacentral:rRNA from 2 species